UGGGGAAUCUUCGGCAAUGGACGAAAGUCUGACCGAGCAACGCCGCGUGAGUGAAGAAGGUUUUCGGAUCGUAAAACUCUGUUGUUAGAGAAGAACAAGGACGUUAGUAACUGAACGUCCCCUGACGGUAUCUAACCAGAAAGCCACGGCUAACUACGUGCCAGCAGCCGCGGUAAUACGUAGGUGGGAAGCGUUGUCCGGAUUUAUUGGGCGUAAAGCGAGCGCAGGCGGUUUCUUAAGUCUGAUGUGAAAGCCCCCGGCUCAACCGGGGAGGGUCAUUGGAAACUGGGAGACUUGAGUGCAGAAGAGGAGAGUGGAAUUCCAUGUGUAGCGGUGAAAUGCGUAGAUAUAUGGAGGAACACCAGUGGCGAAGGCGGCUCUCUGGUCUGUAACUGACGCUGAGGCUCGAAAGCGUGGGGAGCAAACAGG
rnacentral:rRNA from 1 species